rnacentral:rRNA from 1 species
UGCCGUCGUAAGCACACCUCUAAAAGAUUAUAGUGUGCAAUUAUGAAUUACUCUCAUAUACGUCAGGUCAAAGUGCAGCUUAUAAAGAGGUGAUGGUAGGUUACACUCCACACACAGACACGAAAUAUAUUAUUAAAAAUUAUACAAAGGUGGACUUGAACGUAAUUAAAUUUUUAUAUUUAAAUGAAAAUGAAUCUAAGACAUGCACACAUCGCCCGUCACUCUCUCCCCAAGGAGAGAUAAGUCGUAACAAAGUAGGUGUAACGGAAGUUGCACCUGU